ACAUUUGGUCCAAUAACAAACGUUGAAAUACAAAACUGGUUCUAACCGGUUUCGUUCUUAUACUUCACUGUAUAAACUACAAAAACAUUCGUUUGCAUUAUACAUUCGCCAUUUUACACAGCAACUGCAAGGCUGUCGUGUGUUGUCUCUCCGGAAAAAGUCUGUGCAACAGCUAUAAUUUUUUUCACUUUCUGUCUUUUUAAUCCAACCCUAAAGAAAAAUGGGCAAAGCAAAGCAAACUGUUCCCCCUGAGCAAAGAAGAACCUCCCCGCGGCUGGCACUGAAACCUAAAGCUGCACCAGUGGAGACUAAGAAAAAGGCUGCUCCAAAGAAGGCGCCCAAAGCAAAGAAGGCCAAGCCAGCUGAGAAUGGAAACACCAAGGUUGAGGAGCCAAAGGCUGAAGCCACCGAAGCCAAAUAAAUAACAGUUGAUGUGCUUACUCUGUGUACUUGGUGAUUGUACAGUUUUAAAUAAGUAUUUUUUACCAAGUUUUAUAUUACAAAUGUCAUUUAUAGGUUUGUUUUGGGCUUGCACUUGAUGUAACAAAACUCUGUUUUCACAUUCAUAUCCAUUUUAUAUCAAAAUUACCGUCCAUAUUCUGUAGGUGUGGCAUUUUUAGUUUGUCUAAUCUGUUGUUUUGUUAUUUUAUCUUAUUUGAAACUGCUGAGGAGUAGAUGUUUUCAAGUUGGAUUUUGAAUUUAAUUUUAAAGGCAGCUAAAGCAUAGUAAAUUUUGCAGAAUAGGAACUCCUUUUGUUUUGAUGUUAAACUAAUAAAACAAUUGCUUACCAAAUGUUUUAAAACUGUAUGUGGACAUAAUACUUAGUCCGUUUAAAUGCCACAGAAAAUUACUGUCUACUAGGUCAAAAGUUUGAUAGAUCCCCUGAAAUUAUGUUUUUCAAUCUGGACAUCCUCUUAAAUUUUCUGUUAAGUUAUGUUUCUGUUAGGGCAGGAGGAAACUCUUCUGGUUUCAGUGGUUGAUCUUAAUGUUCUUGAAUAAAAACUUUUAAAAUGUC